rnacentral:rRNA from 1 species
GAUGAACGCUAGCGGCAGGCUUAACACAUGCAAGUCGAGGGGUAUAGUUCUUCGGAGCUAGAGACCGGCGCACGGGUGCGUAACGCGUAUGCAAUCUACCUUUUGCAGAGGGAUAGCCCAGAGAAAUUUGGAUUAAUACCUCAUGGUAUGUGAGAAUGGCAUCAUUUUCACAUUAAAGUCUCAACGGCAAAAGAUGAGCAUGCGUCCCAUUAGCUAGUUGGUAAGGUAGCGGCUUACCAAGGCAACGAUGGGUAGGGGUCCUGAGAGGAAGAUCCCCCACACUGGUACUGAGACACGGACCAGACUCCUACGGGAGGCAGCAGUGAGGAAUAUUGGACAAUGGGCGCAAGCCUGAUCCAGCCAUGCCGCGUGCAGGAUGACGGUCCUAUGGAUUGCAAACUGCUUUUGUACAGGAAGAAACACUGGUUCGUGAACCAGCUUGACGGUACUGUAAGAAUAAGGAUCGGCUAACUCCGUGCCAGCCGCCGCAGUAAAAC